UAUAUGCGCAGUACAGUUGGGUGCCACCCCUUAGAUUUAAAACAGUAAGUCCGAUCCAAUGAAAUCGGCAGGAAUUUAUUGUAUGUUGUAUGAACCGCUUAUGUUGUAUUAACAAAUAAGUCCAGCGAUCUACAAUGGUUGUAAGGGACACUGACUUUAUUUUGUUUACAAGAGUAAUUUUUUGCCCCCCCAACUUUUGAUCAUAAUUUAAAGACUAAAGUGCAAUCUGUAAUGAUCACUAAGGACAUGUGAUUGUAUGAAAUUAUGUUAUUUAUUUCCAUUGAAAAGAGUAAAGCUGAUCUAAAUGCCUUUUCAUUAUGCUGCCAUGGCAGGUUAUGUUGCAUUAUGUACCAAAUUAUCAUCGGCAGGGCACUGCGCCUUCUGUUGUAUUUUAAAAUGCAGUAAGUCCAAUCUAUAAAGUUUGGCAGGAAUUUUUCUCAAUCUUUGUCACCUUUUCAUCAUUUUGUUGGAAUGUUUUUCAAUGAAAGUAAGCCUGAUCUGCAAUGAUUGAUUGGUGUGUUAUUCCCCAAAGCUAUUGUUAAUGGCUUUAUGUUGAAUUGAAAUAGCGUAAAAUGUUUGAUUGGUGGAGAGACACAGUGACGUUUUGAGACAAUAAAAGAACUGUUUACGCUCUGAACUGUGAUUUUAGAAAGUAAGUCCAAUCAAUCUGAUUGGCAGAGACACCUCAUUAUUAUGUUGUCUUCAAAUAUAAAUGCAGUAGUAGUAACAUUAUUUUGGAUUUUAAAGACACAGUAAAUUCGACCUUUAAUGGUUUGCCUGGAUGCUUUACAUCAAAACUGAACUUUCCAGCCUUAUUUUGGUUUUUAAAAAGUAAUCGUGAUCUGCAGUGAUUGGUGUGCACAUAUGUUCUGUACCCCCUGUUUCCUCACAGCUUAGUCUUCAAUACUUGAUUCCAAUUUGCAACAGUAAGCAGGAAAUAUUCUGUUUGUAACCAUCACAUGUUAUUUGUGUAAUCAUGUUUUGGAUUAAGUAUGACGUGUAAAAUGAUCAGUUGGGUUUCUUUGAAAUGUUGUCUCUGCAUCACAAAUCAUGUGUACAGCUCUAAUCUGCCAGGAUUAGCUUAUAUUUGUGACAUCAUUUCUUUUUCAGAGUAAUUUCCCAAGUUGGUCUUUGAUAUUUUAUGUAGUAAGUCCAAUCUGAAAUGGUUGGCAGGGACACUGGACACUGACUUUAUAUGCUGUAUUAACUUUGUAGCCUUAUCUUGAGUUAGGAAAACCUGUUAAUCAAUCUGCAUUGGUUAACAGAAACACUGUGCCUCCCUUUGGAUUUUAAAAACAGUAAGUCCGCUCUUUAGAGAUUGGCAAAAAUUUGUUGUGCAUUGUAUUAAAAUCAUGUGCUGUAUAAAUAAGUCCAAUCUGCAACUAUUGGCAGGGACGGUGCCUUCAUUUUGCUUUGAAAAGUACGUUCUUGCACCCACAACCCUUGAUCAUAAUUUAAAUCAUGAAGGCUGAUGUGUUGUGAUCACUAGGGACAUUAUUUAUUUCCACUAAAAGGAGUAUGUUUGAUCUGAAUUCUUUUUUUAUUAUGCCGCCAUGGCAGGUUUUUUGGCAUUCAUCUUCAGGGACACUGUGGAAUUCUUCUAUUUGUAACCAUCACAUAUUAUUUGUGUUACCAUGUUUUGGAUUAAGUAUGAUGUGUACAGUGAUCAAUGAGGAUUCUUUCAAAUGUUGUCUCUGCAUCAUGAGUAAUUUUUACAGCAUAGCCUAGCUGUUUGUGACAUCAUUUCUUUUCCAGAGUAAUUUCCCAAGUUGUUCUUGAUUUGUAAAGUAGUAAGUCCAAUCUGAAAUGGUUGGCAGAAACACUGACUUUAAAUGCUUUAUCCAAAAGUGAUGUUAUAGCCUUUUCUUGAGUUGGGGGCCUCUCUUGGAUUUUAAAAUACAAAAUUCAGUCGACAGGAAUUCAUUGUGUGCUGCUUUAACAUUACAUGUUGCAUGAAACAAUUAAGUCCAAUCUGCAAUGGUUGGCAGGGACGCUGACUUUAUUUUUUUGCACGCUUAACCAUUGACCACAAUGUAAAGCACAGUGCAAUCCGUAAGUCCGAUCAAUCUGAUUGGCAGAAGCACUUCAUUUUAAUGUUGUUUUCGAAUUUACAUGCAUAGUAGAAAACUAAUUUUUGUACUUUAAGGACACAGUAAGUCCAAAUUUUUAUGGUUGGCACGGAUGCAUCAUAUCACCACUGCAUUUUCCAGCCUUAUUUUGCAUUGCCCUUUGGUGAUGUUACAUGUAAGUUGACCUCCACUCCCAGUUAUCUCACAACCUCAUCUUAAAAACUUGAUUCCGAUGUGCAAAAGUUGACAGCAAUUCUUAUAUUCUUGUAACCAUUACAUGUUAUUUGGGUAACCAUGUUUUGGAUUAAAUCUGAUCUGUAGAAUGAUCCAUGGGCAUCACAGAUCAUCUGUAAUCUUAAAAGUGUAAGUCCAAUCUGCCAUGAUUGGCAUGCACAUUUGUGACAUCAUUUAUUUUUCAGAGUAAUUUCCUAAUUUGUUCUUUUAUUUUUAAUGUACAUGUAGUAAGUCCAAUCUGAAAUGGUUGGCAUGGUAUGCUGUAUCCAAAAUUAGUUUUAUAGUCUCGUCUUGAAUUGGGAAAAGCAAUUCAGAUCUAUCUGAUCAACAGGACACUGACACUAUUUUUAAGGCAUUUUGCCAUCCUUUUAUAAUCUGUAGUGAUUUGCAAAGACACAGUGAUAUUAUAAUUACCCUCCAAAGGAAUAUCUACACCACAUCUUGGCUUGUAAUUAAAACAGUAAAUCUGAACUGCAAUGACCGGCAAAGAUGUUACUUAUUAUGUCAUUCCCAAAAAUAAUUGUUACAGCCUGAUUUCUAAUGGGAAAAAUGAUCUGCAGAAGCAUUGUGAUCUAUAAUCUAUGGUUUAAAAAUGAUUUUGAUCCAUGUGGUCAGCAGAGACAAUUUGACACUGUGCUGCUUUCAAGAUCAAACUAAUUCUCCAACCUCAUUUUGGAUUAUUAUUGAAACAGUAAGUACAAUGGGAUCGGCAGAGACAUUGUGCAUUAUAUCACAAUUUUAUCAUUAGCCUUAGUUUGUAUGAAAGAAGUAUGUCUGAUCGUCAUUGGCCCAGUGAUCGGCAUGCAUUCUUGUGAGUUCAAGCCCCGUCAUCUACUAGUCUCACCUUAAAAUUUGAUUCCAAUUUUUCCAGUAGUCGGCAGGGAAUGUUCUAUUUCAGUUGUGUAACUAUCCCACAAAAUUUGUAAAGCCUUUUUUCCUUAAAAUGUAAUUCUAACCUGUAAUAAUCUGCAGGAAUUCUUUAUUCAUUGUCUUCAUAGUGAGCCAUCUGUAUAGCCUCAUUUUCUUGUCCAAUCUCUCAAGAUUAGCAUUCGUAUUUGUGACAUUUUGUCACUGAAGUAACUUUCAAGUUCAGUCUGAAAUGAUCAGCAGGGUAAUUUAACACCACGCCUACUAUGGAUGCAUUGGAAUGCAUGUGAAUAAUUUAAAGUAUAACCUAGCUAGGCUAGGCCAAGGGUUUUGUAUUACAGGUUCACUACACCAGGAAUCUGAAGUUUUUGUCAACAAGAAGGAUGACCUGAGAAAGAAGACUGACUGCUACCUUAUCAAAGAUGAAACCAAGGAACUGAAAGCAGGGAGGAGGACCAAUGGAUGACUGAUGACUCUGCUUGCUGAGCAUGCCCAUACUCACUUUUGAGACCAUGAAAGCCUAGAUGAACUGGAUAGAUGAGAGAGAAACUGCCCUGCUUAGCUUGCCCCACGCAAAUAUAGAAACCUCAGGGACUGGAGACAAGGGGAAGACUGGUAAUUCUGGCCUGUGUCUUGAACAUGUCUUUCUUUUUCUUCAGGUAAACCCAAUAAGAUUGAGCAAAAAUUAUCUAGAAAUCUCUCAGAAUUGUUCCCAUCAAUGUGAGUUUCGUAUAAUUCUUCAUGCUCGCACGAGUCGUCUAACCACCCGUGGCUCUUUGCAGAUCUGUCUCUUGCUGGGUUUGACUGUGCUUUGAUGUUUCAGGUUGAUUACUCUGCAGAUAGAAUCAUCAUUUUGUUGAGCCUCCUUCAGACUGGAGCCUUGCAGACAACUUGUUCCACAUCUGCCAGGGUCAUCUGCCUCAUCUGUUUUGCUCUAAUCGAAGGGGCUCUCCUCACUACUGAGGUGGUUCUGGGACGUUUGCAAAAAAGACUUCACAAUUCGGAUGGUAGCAACAUUACCGUUGGCCUGAACGGUGUCAGUUUAUUGACGAGAGUAUUGAAUGAGGCCUGGCACUCUGGUGACCAAACAAAGAGUGGGUCUUUGGUGCCUCGCUUUCCUCCAGUUAACGCAAACAAGAGGGCUGCUAUCUUGGAAUAGUUCCGGACGAACCUCCUGUAGUAACCGGUGAGGCCAAAAAAAUCCUCAAACAUCACGCUUUGACUUGGGCAUGGGCCAAUUCUUGACAGCUGAAAUCUUGUCCAGAUCAGUAGCGAUGCCAUCUGCUGACACAACAUGGCUGAGAUAUUUCACGCUGCUUCGGAGUAGGUGGCACGUUGAUGGCUUUAACUUCAGAUCGUGCUCACGCAACCAUGAACACCUUAGAUAGUUGACGUACAUGCUCUUCCAACGUUGUGUUGAACACGAUAAUGUUGUCCAGGUAGAGCAAGACACUCAGUCAAAAGUCAAGUCGCUGAAAAUUGUGGUCAUCAACCUCUGAAAUAUGGCGAGUGCGUUUGUCAGGCCAAAGGGCAUUCUCUUGAACUCAUACAGUCCCAUUGGUGAAAGAAUGCUGUCUUUGGUUGAUCCUUACUGGAAACUUAGACCUGAUGAUACCUUGAAGUAAGAUCUAGACAAGAGAAGUAUUUGGUAUGACAGAGGGCAUCUACUGCGUCAGUAGAACAGAGCACUUCUUCCCCAACAUAACAAUCUCCACGUCACUCACUGGCCCAACUAGGUCACCAUUCUCUUUAAUUGUCAUCUCUUGGUGGUGUUGGUUCCCUCAAGGGUGUUUCUGAAGUGGAAAGAGGCGGGCUUGUAGAAAACUUACAAAAACCCACUGAUCACCCUGCAUCAGAGGGUCUCCCCAGUUUAAUGGAGCUGAAGUUAAGACGUCGGCUGUGCUUGUCUCAGCUGUGGACAUCUGCAGAUGAAAUGGCAUAAGCUGUCACAGUUGUUGCAGGACUUUGGUUGGUCGCUGAAUCUUGGUGCAGGAUGGAUGACUGCACCAGACUGCUGAGGUUUCCGUGGCGGCAUCACCUGGGAUCUUCUUUCCAACCUUUCGACACAUUAGCCUAAUUUAUUGCAUCUGAUUCUCGAGAACUUGGUUCAGUGUAAUGGUCUGCCUUUCCAUCACCUUGGCAAUAUCAGCAAAGUUCACACCGGUGUCUCGUCUCUUCUGUGUGUUGUCAGGCUUGUUGGAUGGAGGUGGCAUCAAAUUCUUGGAGAUGUGUGCCCCGGUAGGGAUUUGCAUCAUCAGCUGAUAGUGCUGUCGCAUUCGUUCCUCCUGUCAGUGCUUCUCCUCAGCAACAUACGAUCCUCAGCUCUGCCCAGAGUUCUUUAAAACUCAUGUUGAGAGGCCACAUGGGUGCAAGUCUCUGUCUGCAUUGGUCGUCACAAAGCCCUUUCAGGAACUAGGUGGUGAGGAUGCUGUCCCUGGAGUCACCAAACAGAUUCUGGCAGCCUUACUGUCUCCCCUUCUCUUGAUACGCCUCAAGAGCGAUGGCAUACUCGCUUGCUGAUUCACCACCUUUCUAAACCCUCGCGUAAAAUCGUGUCCUUGGUGAGAAGGUUAAGUUAUCUUCCCAAACUCCUCCAAAAUUCAGCAAAAGCUGCCCGCUCUGCUGUGACUUCAGAGGGACUACGGCUUUCAAGAUUUAGCACAUCGUGAACUCUCCCAGCUGUGUUACGCACCACCUCGUGGAACUGGACUCUUCCUUUGCUGCCCUUCACCUCUAGCAGGUAACACAUGUCUCACAUCCAAUCUUCAUCUUGAGUGCUCUUCUCACGUCCAGUGAAUGUGGGGACUCCUUUCACUCGGUGUGUUGUGACAGUCCUCGAUUAACCAGCCAGUGUGGGGUAAAUGUCCAUGGAGAUGGGGUCGAAACCGAUGAUCUGUUGGGGUGUAAGCUGCCUGUGUGGUGGUGGCAGUGCCGUGCUUUGUUGUGUGGCGGUUGCUGAAUGAGGCAUUAACACCGGUGGAGUGUCUGACAUUUGGAGUGUGAAUCUUGAUGGACUGGCUGGAGUCUCCAAAUGCUUUGUUGGUUUGACCAGAUUUGACUAUUGACCACAGGAAAAAAAAGGAUCCAUUCCUAUGCAAGAAAAAAAAAAGACCUGGCUAAGUUCCAUAAAACAGCAUCCCUACCCGGGUCUUCCACCCCCCCAAAAAAAAAGUAACAAGGAAAAAUGGAACACUAAUGAAAAAGACAACUCUGGGGGAAAUCACUCGCACAAAAUACUAACUAACUAGGGAUCAAUUAAGGACAAAUUGCAAGGUCUUUCUAAAAAAACAAUGAGACAGGACAGAAAGUGUUUGAUCUCAGGAAAAAAAUUCAAAAGAAAAAAAACUACUUUAUUCAAUAAUGGAGAACCAAUCUGGAAAACAAAAUCUAUAAUCUGUAAUUGACUUUUUAGCCAAAUAUGAACUUAAGGAAAACUACUCUUUUAGGAAUUCAGCGGAAACUAUACAUGACCAAAAAAUAAAUAAAAUGGAAAAUUAAAGAAAAGCAACCCCCCAAAAAAAAUGAAUUGAAAAUACCUCAGACCAUAAAUCUGAGACCUGGAAUUUCAAAUUUUAAACUUCACACAGUAGACCUUAACCUUUCAAUAAAAGACUAACAAUAAAUCAGCAUUUUUGUGUCCCUGUUACAUCUGACCUUUGUUUGUUGUGAAUUCAUCACUCUUGCAAAUUAGAAAAUGUGUUUUACAAAAUCAUAUGUCAGAUGUGACAGGGACAGGAAAAAAUGGACCCCUAAUUUCUAGAAUUACCCAUUACCUUGAAAAUCUUACCGAUUUAACACAUUAACCCAAGGUGGUUGAGAAGUUUUUAUUUGACAGAAAGUGUGGCAGCUGAACUGUCAGUGCAGCCUGAAAACCUGGAUAAUGGAUCAUCAAGACAGCUCACUUCAUGACGGACAUGUGAGCAGGAAACCUGGAGAUGAUAACUUGCAGAUUACUUGAGACCUGGAUGCUUUCUCAGCUCCUGUUUUCUCAGUCUUGAGAUGUUUAGGGGAUUUGGACUGCCAAACCGGGAUGUUUCUGACUGGAUGAUGACGAAUUAUCUACUCCCCAUCAGGACAAAGAAUAUUUUGCCUCUUAAUCCCAUCAUAGACAAAAUAAAGGAGCCGGAAGCAGGGAGGAGGCCCAACCGAUGAACUGAUGACCCUGCUUGUUGAGCAUGUCAUUACUGAUUCUCAAGAUGACUGACAAAUCACAAAUAAAAAACAGAUGACAAGCCAGCAGGCUGAUGACAAAGCAUUUUAUUCUUUAUGUUGAUGGUUUAGAAGAUGACAUGACAAACAUCAAAUGUGGAUAAGACUCACUGGAUGAAGAAGAGGCUGCUUCCAAUGCAGAAGGAUGAAUUACAAUUUUUACUAUUCUGGAAGCAGUGAACUGGGAUCAGUGGCAGUAUCAUUGGUGGUUAAGUGCUAAUGCAGAUUGUAAAAAAGGCAGUUUAAGUUUUAAAAUGAGAUGCCAACAGGGACCCAUUUCUAAUAAAUAGAAGUCAACAAUAAUUCAGUUUGAAAAGAUUAAUUUUGCAAAAGAUACUUUGAAAAGCAAGUUUCAUUUUUAAUAAACCUACAAUAUUACUGAAAUUUUGAAGAUUCCCAUGUUUUUAGGUAGAAUGAGCCAUUUGUAGCUACCAAAACCAACCAAACAAAAAAGUUAUUUUUAAAAUCAAACUUGGUCUAAAGAAAUGGUGCAAAAUUCCAAAUGAAGAUAUAUAAUGUAGCAUGCUGUCACUUUCAGUUGUGCAACUGUUCCUUUGAUCAGCUGAAUUCCUCAUUUUUUACUUCUCAUGUUUGGCAUUGCAAACUGAAACACAUUGCAAAAAAAUUUAUGCAGUUGGGAAAUUCCUUCCUUUUUAUUUUCUAAAAUUCUAGUCAUACCUAUAUUUUGAAUAACGUAAUUUAAACAAGGUCACUUCAUCUUUCGAAGGUGUUGAGAGAAGCACUUUUGGGGGGAUUUUAAUGAAUCCCAAUCUUAACCCGAGGUGCGCGCAUCUUUCCAGAUUGUUGUAAACACCCUAGUAAUUUGUAAACAGGCUAGUAGCCAAAGAAGCACUUAAUGUGUGGCUUUACAACCUAUGUUUGAAUUAACGUGUGUCAGGUGCACUUCAAAACAUUACUUAGCAACUUCAGCCUCAACCCAUUAAAGAAACCUAGAAUUGCUUACGUUAACUCAAAAGACGUUGUAUUUCUGGAGCAAAAAUGGACUCUUCUUCAAUAAUUUAAGCAAUUUUGUCUAUUCAAAUUUAGAAUAACCAAAAUAAUAAAUGAUCAAUUUUUCCUUAAGUUGAACAGCAAGUCCCCCUAAAUUAAACUCUAUCUUUAUACUUCUUUUUUAAGAAUGAAUGAACCAAAUGAUUGGGUUAAAACCUUUUUUAGAGAUAAUAACGGUUUGUACUUAUGAGAAGUUGCACCUCCAUAAAGUUACACCUUUAAAAUGUUUUGUUUUGACAGGGUUUGUCUUGGGAACAGUUUUUGUCUAGUGAUGCAUUCAGAAAUUCAUUUUGCAUCUUAACAUAUUCCUAUUUUUAAGAUUUAAUUUAAGUUUUAAUGUUAAAGGUGAAAAGUAAACAAACUUUAAAAAUUGAGAACAGAGACAAAAAGGAAGAAUUUUUGCCUGAUAUCUUCUCAUCUGAUUGACAGAACUACUUUAUGGAUCAUUUUAAGAAUUAUCUUUAUUGCUAGGAAAUGAGAUUUGCCCACUGAUGCAGUAAAAUGUCAAUAUUUACAAUAAUCAGUUAAACUGUAAGAUAACAUAAAAAUUAUACUAGGUGAAAUUUUUAAGGAAUAGGUAAAGAAACCUCCUGCAGGUAAAUAAGCCCCCUGCCUCUUUUGCGCAUAUAGACCUGCUUGUAUCAUAUAAUGGUGUCAUGGUGAUCUGUAUUCAGAGAUCUGUAGGCCCCUACCAUUAAAAUUUGAAAGAAUCUUUCUUCAUUAAGAGAUAAAAUAACAUGUAUAACAUUCAAAUUACAUUGUGUCUAUCCUUUUGCAAGGCUUAUUGCAUGAGUGGUUUCUGUUAAACAGUUUUAAGUUUUUGUUUGUGUUCUCCUUUUGAGUUCGGUGGAUGUUCAGGCACUUUUUUCUUUCUGCAUCUUUGAUUUUGAAGAAACGUUACUUCAGCAAAAGGAUAAACACACUGUAUGCAGAGUGUCACUAUUACUCAAUACAAAAUCUUGUGUGUGUCAUGCGGAUUAACUAAUUCAGUCUUGACAAAAAAUAUUUUUGGCAGAUGGGCUUACAUUGCUAGUAGAUGUCAGAACUUAUUAAAGAAACAUUUUUCUUAUCUAGGACAAAGGGCUUCAUUUUAAAGCAAAAGUCCCAAACAGUUUUAUUUUUUCUCCUCAUAGAAAGGUAUUGUUUCUCAAAUAACUCAUACCCCACUUUUGGGCCUUUCAAAGUUUCACCUAUAUAUU